CACCAGGUAUAAACACCUAUUCUAGUUGACAUACAGAUAGGGGGGCACAGGCAUGGAUUGUUUAGGGCAUCAACUAGCCUUAAUCCGUCACUGGUGAU